rnacentral:lncRNA from 1 species
UGGUAUCACACUACUAGGCUCCCAGGUCUGGAGAGAGCCCAGCAGAGAUCAGGAUUUCCUUUCAUAACAGAUUAUGGAACAGCUACUUUGCACUAAUCCAUCUGCCUGAUAAAGAUCAUCUGGGGGUGACCCAGCAGCCUUUGGUGAAGACACAGAACAGAACGACUGCAUCUUCCCAGGAAAAUCCCAUGGGCAAAACGACUCCAGCUGCCAGAUAACAGCCAGUUUUUGGUCAUUGAACGUCAUGGGUACCCACUGCGGGUCAAACUGGCUUUGUUAUCUGCCAGUGAGCAUUUGCCAAGGCAGCCACACACCCAGGGCCUGAGGAGAACUUCCAGAGUCACCGAGUGCCCCAGGCAUCACAGCUUGGUCUUUUUGCUGCAGACCCUGGAGUGCCUGAUGGGGAAGAGGAAGAAAGGAAGGAGGAUUUAUCUCACUCUGUGUGUGCCUGGCACUUCACCUCAUCGUAUCCUCACAGCUCCCUGUGCAGCAGUGUUAGGACUGUCUUGCCAGGCUGCAGUUGAGGAGGCAGCCGCUCAGACCGGGCAGUCACUGGCUGUGCUCACAGAUGCUCACAGGCUGGCAGAGGCAGAGGCAGGAUUCUGAUCCAGGUCCUCCCGAGCUCACAGCCUCUGCUCUUUCUGCUCUUUCCAUGCAAACACCCACGCCUACGGGGACAGCUGGGUCUUUCCUGGAUGUUUGGUCUCAAUAAGAUUCUGUUCCAGAGUGGAGCAUGUGAGGGUCAUUGCCACAGACCCAUUCCACAAGUCAGAGGCCACGCAAACAGUGUAUACAUCUGGCGCCACUGAGCCCAGCACUCACAGGCAGCCUGGGGCCUGCCUGCCUGCUCUCAGAGUUUGCAAUUCCCUUUUUAUUUGAGUUCUUUCUGGUCCCUCCCAGAGACUGAGACUGUAGUUUGCCAUCUGUAUUUAGUAGGAAUUAAAAGUUUUAAACAUAGCUAUCACUUUUUACUAUGAGCUGAGCACACACACACCGCUAUUUACUCCUUAAAACCUUGUAAAGAUGUGAUACCGUUGUCCCUGUUUACAGAUCAGGAAA